rnacentral:rRNA from 1 species
UACGUAGGGGGCAAGCGUUGUCCGGAUUUAUUGGGCGUAAAGAGCGUGUAGGCGGCUAGAUAGGUCCGUUGUGAAAACUCGAGGCUCAACCUCGAGACGCCGGUGGAAACCAUCUAGCUAGAGUCCGGAAGAGGAGAGUGGAAUUCCUGGUGUAGCGGUGAAAUGCGCAGAUAUCAGGAAGAACACCUAUGGCGAAGGCAGCACUCUGGGACGGUACUGACGCUGAGACGCGAAAGCGUGGGGAGCGAACAGG